UACGUAGGGUGCAAGCGUUAAUCGGAAUUACUGGGCGUAAAGCGUGCGCAGGCGGUUUUGUAAGUCUGAUGUGAAAUCCCCGGGCUCAACCUGGGAAUUGCGUUUGAAACUGGAAGGCUUGAGUGUGGCAGAGGGGGGUGAAAUUCCACGUGUAGCAGUGAAAUGCGUAGAGAUGUGGAGGAACACCGAUGGCGAAGGCAGCCCCCUGGGCUAACACUGACGCUCAUGCACGAAAGCGUGGGGAGCAAACAGG
rnacentral:rRNA from 1 species